GAGAGAUGGGCUUAGCAGCUUCAUAUCAAUUGGUCGUCUGCUGCCUCUGCCUCCUAUGUGGGUGAUGAUGUUACUUUCCAGGAAGCUUUGGGCGAGGUGGCUGCCGACUGCCAAAGUAACUCUUUGUAUAUCCAGUCUGCUUUCCAGAGGUUGUAGCCUUGCUCUGUAACCAUCGUACACAGCUUCAGAAUUCUCCAUGUAUCCUGAGGAGGAAAUGUACCUGGUGCCUCAAUUUUGUACCAAGUAAAAACCUUGAAGACAAAGUAAACACCAAUGACAGAAUGCAGAAAUGGUGUUGUAUGAUAAACCCUGAAGACUACUGAGAACCCAAAGUAAAUUGGAAUAUAUUGUUUUGUGAUUUGAAGACUCAAAAAGAAUUUUUCUUUUAGCUUUCUUUAAUUUUCCCUUAGAAAAUGUAAACUGUGUUUUGAUGUGAAACAUUCUAAGUUUAGACACCCACAGGCAAGUUGUUUUCUCUAAUUAAAACAAAAUGAAUACAAAUUUCUUACACAUAUAUUUUUAAAUGUGAGAAAUGUACUUUAAUGUUUCUAAAGACUCCUCAGCAGUCAAACUGCCUCAUUCUGAAAAUACUACUUUUUGCAGCCACCUAAAAUAGUUAUCAAAGUAUAUUUGACACACCAAAAUCAUCUCAUACUUGUGUACUAUUUAAUAAUUGGUAUCUUGGGACCAUUUGCCCCAAAUAUUUCACAGUCCUUAAAAAAAUGUCUAUCAGAAGACAUUAUACAAACAUAUUUACACCUAAAACUGUUUAAUUAUCAAAAAUUGUUCAACAAAUUAUAUGUUUAAUUUUAUUAGCUAAAACAUUUUUCUACUUCCCUUUAGUAAUGUGAUGUAACUUAAUGUCUUCUGAAAAGAUAAGGA